UCAUCUUUGUGUCUAUGACUAAGUCCUGGCUUUUUAUGUUCGUGACCUGAUUUUGUACUACCAGGCUCCUCCCAGCUCGGUGAAGCGCCUCACGUGAUCCAUUCUCCCUCCUCAAUAAAGUUGAACAUUUUGGCUGGGAUCGGUGAGUGCUGCUGGGGUGGCGGCAGCGAGUCCAGCCUGGCAGGCUCUGCAGCGCGACCCACCCGCGCACUCUCCCUUUGAGAGACCGCGGCGGAUGAGCAUGGUUAGUGAGCACUGGGGCAGGCUUCAGGCGUGGGGCUCCGUUUUGCCAGCCCCACAGCCCCUGACAACCCUCCCUCUCCAAAGCCGCCCCGGCUGCUGAGAAAGAUGGGGCCGGGCAAGGUAAUUUUUCCAGACCCCAGCUUUGCAAUCAGUGAUGACAUCUCUGAAUUUCCAGUUUAAAAAGAACAAAAAAUAAAAUCUCUUCCAGACAAGGUGAAUGUGAGAACAAAUAUUAAAGAAGAGGAAAGAAAGGCCUUCAUUAGAAUGAAAGAUUUUUUUCUGUAACUGAUUUUGUUAGAAACUACAAUGUUAGAAAAACCAAGUCCGCCUCUCAGCAAAAAAUCUGCCUUGGAUUUUAUUCUCUUUGGGGAAUACUUCGGGGGAAAGAAAACACUCAUUGUGAAGCAAAUUCAUAAGAUGUAAACUGUGCUCAUUGUAGCGCUUAUUUUUCCUUUAAGCCUGAGGAGGAGCCCUGACACCACAAUGUUACAGGAAAAUUGAUUUGAUUUUCUCCAAUUAUCCAUUCAAGAAAACAAAGAUUCAAAAACUGGCAGUGAGAUCAACAGCUUUUUCUUCUGACAGAGAUGACAGUGAGCACCAGUUUCUGACUUAUACACUGUUUGGAUAUAGAUAACAUGCAUUGUUAACUUUCUGACACAUCCUCUUCCUUAUAAGCUGCAUGGCUUCAUAAACAAACAAUACUUCUGAGCCCCAUCUAUGCCUUGAGAAGCUGAGAAAAAAAUUUCUUGUGGACAACGUGGGCUAUGUGGGAAUCCUAGUUCAUGUUUUUUCAGAAAUUUGAGUGAGUGAGGGCAACUACUGAAUCCCAAUGAGGCCCAAGUUCAAUGAAACUCCUGUACCUGCACUUUUGGCUUUGACAGAAUAUGAAAACUUUGCUAAGCUGAAUGCAACAGGAGAUACUGAAACUAAACAGCUAGAAGGGUCCCUCUCAUCCACGGUUGCACUGACAAUAGUGCUGAUCAUUAUUUUCUCUUUGAUAAUGACAUCCCUAGUGACCUACUGUUUCCACAAGUGGCAACUGAGGGGUAAAAGACUGCAGAAAGCGCAAGAGGAAUAUCAGCGAGACCAUGAAAAGAGCAUGUUCCAAAGCAUGUCAGGACUUGUUUCAUAAAAGAAAUCAAUCGAACAUGAAAUAUUCCUGCAUUACCUGAAAAUCAGACAGGCAGUUCCUAAUGGUCUUAAAUCCCUUCAUCCCAGUUUCACCUGAAAGUGAAAAAUAACUAACUAUUGGAAGUUACAUAUUGAAAUAUCCACCUAAAUAUAUCCUGGUUUUACCUAAUUUGUAAGAAUUAUUAAUGGUUUGGAAAUUUCCAACAGCUUUAUUAUAAGUCAAAAAUAUUCAGUUGUCUCAUUUGUGCAAAGUAAAACCAAUGCAACCAUGUAUUUUAAUCUGCAUUUUAUUUAUUAAAAAACAGUAUGUCAAACCCUGCUGUCCUUACUCUAUCAAAAUUCCCAUGGCAGUCAAAGGGCCAGAGUCUCAGCUCGUUCCAAUCAACAUAGCUGACGGGAGUUGAUAGAGCGAUGAUGAUUUGCAUUAGCAGAUGAUCCGGCUCAAAAUUUGAGAAGUUAAUGGGAGCUUUAUUUGAGUAAGGUCCACAGGAUUUUAUCCAAUUACUACCCAGUCCUGAAAGCCUUCUGGGGCAGAACUCACAAAGACUUCAAGAAGAGUUCCAUGCACAGAGGGCUUGCAGGAUUGAGCCCUAUGUUUGCUAGCAGACUGUAUGUUGAUAAUCAUUCAAUUUAUUUUGUUUAGGGUCCAGUGCUGCAAAGUUCUGAUGGCACUUUACUUCUAUGGGAAUUGAGGGCACUCAGCACCUCACAUGAUGGGCCCAGACUUAUUAAGGAGCAUGCAAGCUGAACACACUUUUUUAAAGCUUGCAAUUAUUUUUAACCAGGCUUACAAUGGUGUGUUUCUAUUUUUGACGCCUGUAAUGUUAUGUCAUGCAAAAGAUGCCGACUCUAUUGUGGGUAACAUAUGUAAGUAAUAUUUUCUAACAAAGUGUUGGAUAUAACAUCAGUAUAAGUAGCUGUUUUAAAAUGUAGAAAAUAUGUAAAAAAUGCAAACAAAAACCCUGCUCAAGUAUAUAGCUUGCUUGCAAUUAUCAUUAGCUGGUGCUGUAUGUAUUUUUAAACAAGCUGUAAUACUGUGAUAAUGCUGUACACUUGCUUCUGUAGGCAAAAAAGUUCAAUUUAAAAACUGGCAAGAAGAUUAAAGAUGUAAAUGUUCUUAACAGUGCUAACAACAAAAAUAUGGAUUUUCAUGGGAUAUUCUAAAGGCAGACUCUGUUACAUGCUACAGAUCUAUUUUACAAUGUAUUUAUGGAUCAUACACACUAUUCAAUGUGAGAACAAACAGUACUAUUUUGUUACAAAAUAAAUAAAUAAAGAAGCAGUGAACGCCCA